rnacentral:rRNA from 1 species
UACGUAGGGGGCAAGCGUUGCUCGGAAUUACUGGGCGUAAAGGGCGCGUAGGCGGGAUGGCAAGUCGGUCGUGAAAUCCCUCGGCUCAACCGAGGAACGUCGAUCGAUACUGCUGUUCUUGAGGAUUGCAGAGGAGACUGGAAUUCCCGGUGUAGCGGUGAAAUGUGUAGAGAUCGGGAGAAACACCGGUGGCGAAGGCGGGUCUCUGGGCAAUUCCUGACGCUGAGGCGCGAAAGCGUGGGGAGCAAACAGG